rnacentral:rRNA from 1 species
GAUGAACGCUAGCGGCAGGCUUAACACAUGCAAGUCGAGGGGCAGCACGGGUAGCAAUACCUGGUGGCGACCGGCGCAAGGGUGCGUAACGCGUGAGCAACAUGCCCUAUACAGGGGGAUAAUCCAGGGAAACUUGGUCUAAUAUCCCAUAGUAUUUAGAGGAGGCAUCUUCUAUAAAUUAAAGCUUCGGUGGUAUAGGGUUGGCUCGCGUGACAUUAGCUAGAUGGUGAGGUAACGGCUCACCAUGGCAAUGAUGUCUAGGGGUUCUGAGAGGAAGGCCCCCCACACUGGGACUGAGACACGGCCCAGACUCCUACGGGAGGCAGCAGUGAGGAAUAUUGGACAAUGGAUGGAAAUCUGAUCCAGCCAUGCCGCGUGCAGGAAGACAGCCCUAUGGGUUGUAAACUGCUUUUAUAUGGGAGCAAUAAGGUCUACGUGUAGACCGAUGAGAGUACCAUAUGAAUAAGCAUCGG